rnacentral:ncRNA from 2 species
CGUGUUGCAGGUGCGCACGGUGUUUGGAUGCGUCGCAUCCGAACUGAAACGGGAACGGGGAAUGGUGUUGAGCCAGAGCCCCGACCGCCCCCGCGACUGUGAGCGGCGAGUAACUUUCGAUGGUGCCACUGGCACGGGCUUCGGCCCAGCCGGGAAGGCGGAAGGUUGCAGCGACCCGCGAGUCAGGAGACCGGCCGAGCGCAUGACAUCAAC